UACGUAGGUGGCAAGCGUUUGUCCGGAUUUAUUGGGUUUAAAGGGUGCGUAGGCGGCCUUGUAAGUCAGUGCUGAAAUAUCCCGGCUUAACCGGGAGGGUGGCAUUGAUACUGCAGGGCUUGAGUAAAGUUGAGGUUGGCGGAAUUGACGGUGUAGCGGUGAAAUGCUUAGAUAUCGUCAAGAACACCGAUAGUGAAGACA
rnacentral:rRNA from 1 species